CUCAUUUUCUGGCAUCACUGCCCUGAUAGAGUAAGGCGAUAGCAGCGUGUUUGGUCCCCUGCGUGUGAGCUCAUCUUCUAGCAUCACUGCCCUGAAACAAUUUGGGAAGAACUUGUCUCCAGUUGAAGGUGGUGCAAUGGCUGGCUACUUUGAGACGGGCUAAUGUAUCCUGCAUCAUGGUGCAAGUUGAAGGACUUGUGACGAGAUCUCCAUAACUGCAGACAUAAGUUAUGUCAUAAGUAGCACAGACAUUGUUGGCAUGGAAGCUGUGCGUAAGAACCAGAUCUACAAUGCCAAUAAGAAGAGCGCCCUCGCCUCCUUUAACAAGGAGAGAAGCAAGAUGGCAGGCAAGAUCCUGUAGGACUUCCUAGAGAUGAUUCACGAGCAUGUCAAGAGGAGGAAGUAACUCAGAUAGAUGCCAGUCCUCGCCUUCAUCACUGAGGAGGAACAGCUUCCAAGACUGAAGGAGGGAUCCUUAUCAGAAUCGUAGGCAUUGAUUCACAAAGGCAAGGAAAGGACUCAAUCUUCUCAGAGAUGCAGUUCUUUGCUUCUCCACCUUAGUGAUGAAGCAAGUCUGUCUACAUUUGCACACUACUCAAAAGGAUCAAAGGAACAGAAUUUAAAAAAAGAUUUGCAUUGCAACAUGUGAGUGUCAUUUAAUGUGGUUAUGUUCUGGCAACAAAACAAAGACUGUAUUGGUUCCCGUCCAAUGCAAACUUUCUCUACAGAGUACUGAAGUCCCAUGACACUGAGAAACACUUUGGUCAGCACCUUGUCGAGGUCUUCUACACAGCCCUAAAAAUGAUGAAAGCGGAGUUUUGGAAGAAUAUGAGUUGUUAAAAUGAUGUCCUGUUGAUGUGAGGGCGCUAUUUAUGAGUUAGAAUUAUAUCCUGAUAAUGUGAGGGCGCUAUUUUUUUGUCUGAAAUUAUUACGGCUAAAAAAUAAAGCUCUUCCAAGAUGUGAUAUGCAUCGCAACAUGAAAAUAUGAACUGUUGAGACCUUUGCUCAGAAAACAAAUGCAUACAUCUGUACCACAUACAAAUGCAUGUCACAUUUUUUAAUUAUUAACAAAAAUGAAGACUGAUACAUGACCAGCGAAGUUCAUUUCUAACCAUAGGACCCUCCGUUGCUCAGAAAAUUGCGCCCUCUCUUGGUCUUGCUCAGGGCUCAGUGGACUCUGAAACACAUACAGUAAAACUAGACACCUGGCUGAAACUUUCAAGACAAAUGUCUGAUCCUUUAAUUUUUUUUGAGUAGUGUAUGCAGUACAAUGCUGCUAUAAUGAACAGGGCAGGGUCCAUACACAAUGCUUGGUGUAGCAUACCUCGCAUCUGUUCCGAUUUCAGUGGAUGAUAUUUAGAAGGCCCAAAAAUUGAACCGUUCCAGUUUGUCCGAAAAAGGGAGAAAAACAUUCUUUGCAAGAGGGCGCUAUUCACCAAAAAGGAGGUGCCAUUUUCAGAAAAAAGAGGGCGCUGUUUACAGAGUCAUAAACUGGUAGCUCUGAUUUUUCAAUGUUGAAAUCGUAGCUUUCGAGUCAUUCUCAUCAGUCUUAAAUUUAUUUCUUGAAUUUUAAAACAAAUUUCAGAAAAAAUGCAUGGAAAAUUUCGGAGACAAGGGGCCUGUAUGCCCAAUUGUUCAGCAUAGAGACAUUGUACUUGGGAGGUACUUGUGUACGUUCACUACAGCCAGACACAGUCAGUCAGUUUGCUUUGAAACAAAAAAACUACUGUUCACAAAUUACCUUGUAUCUUUAAUGUAUCGUAAUGCAUCUACUUUCAUAUUUAUGCACAUUUAAAACAUUCAGGUGUACGUAGGUUUUCACAAUGCUCUACUCCAAAAAUUCUAAUGUGCGAAAACUUGAUUACCAUUUGGAAAGCCGGUAGACACUUGAUAGACUGGACUCGUAUGAAAAUUUUUAACUCUUUUAAAAAAAUUUUGAACAGUAAAUUAUGUAAUUCACAUCUCCCUUUCCCAUUCAGGCUGCCAAAAUACCAACACUAUUCAGUCAAUCUAGAGGCCGUUCUAAACCUCACUUCAACAAGUUUUUCCUUGGACAACAUUCCAUGUGCAUUAUGUAUUUUCCAAGUUGCACAUUGCCAGAGCAUUGGAAAAAGUCUUUAACUUAAAAUUACAUGUAUCACAAAGCGGCAAGUGACAAAAUUGUUGGCUCAGUACUAAUAGGCCAUUACUGAAAAAAAAUAAUUUUUGAAAAUAGGGCAUUACUCUCAAUAUGAAAAAAAUUUUUUUGGGAACAAACAUUUUUGAAACUUCUAGUCAUAAACCUUUUUUUUUUGCAGCCGACAUAUAAAUUUCAACCAAUGUAUAUUCUCAUGUUGAUGUUUACAACGUUUUUCAAUAAGGACUGUUUAGCACUGAUACAAAAUUUGUUCACGUUUGAAAAUAUUGCCAUUGUGUGUAUGUGAAACAAUCACCAUUUAUUGCUAUAACCAGUUAAUUUCUGUUUGCAAGUGAAAUAAAUGUUCAUUUAUCUAAACUAACAGAACGUUUGUGUGUAUAAUCUGUUUGUGAAAUUUAAUACUUAGCCAUUCCCCAAUCUCAACCACACUACACUGCCAGAAUUACAUCUGUUUCCCACCUUUAUAUUUUACAUUGCAGCAUCAUCCUAAGCCCUGCCAGUCUUAAACAUCUUCCAAGCUCCUUAUUUAAAGUUCCCUCUUAGAGCCUUUUAGUCUUAAUCCCACAAUGGCCACAAUAAACCCACUGGCAAUAUGGAAAUUAAGAAGCUAUGUCCUUCAACCCCAUGGGAUCCUUACAGCUCUAAUCCUGAUAGUCUCAAGCCCUCAGCCAUCCACUCUACCCUUCCUAUCAGCUCUCAAACUUCCAGGCCCUGGGACUUCCACCCUUGCCCAUCUCCUGUACAGUGUUUGGCAGAAAAAUAUUCUAAGUCCAAACAAUGAAAGGUUUAACAUUUAGAAACGAGCACAUUC